rnacentral:rRNA from 1 species
UUCCAGACUCCUACGGGAGGCAGCAGUCGGGAAUAUUGCACAAUGGAGGAAACUCUGAUGCAGUGACGCCGCGUGCAGGAAGAAGGUUUUCGGAUUGUAAACUGCUUUAGAUGGGGAAGAAAAAAGACUGUACCCAUAGAAUAAGCUCCGGCUAACUACGUGCCAGCAGCCGCGGUAAUACGUAGGGAGCGAGCGUUGUCCGGAAUUACUGGGUGUAAAGGGAGCGUAGGCGGGCGAGAAAGUUGAAUGUUAAAUCUACCGGCUUAACUGGUAGCUGCGUUCAAAACUUCAUGUCUUGAGUGAAGUAGAGGCAGGCGGAAUUCCUAGUGUAGCGGUGAAAUGCGUAGAUAUUAGGAGGAACACCAGUGGCGAAGGCGGUCUGCUGGACAGCAACUGACGCUGAGGCGCGAAAGCGUGGGGAGCAAACAGGAUUAGAUACCCCCGUAGA